GACGAACGCUGGCGGCGUGCUUAACACAUGCAAGUCGAACGGAAAGGCCCUGCUUUUGUGGGGUGCUCGAGUGGCGAACGGGUGAGUAACACGUGAGUAACCUGCCCUUGACUUUGGGAUAACUUCAGGAAACUGGGGCUAAUACCGGAUAGGAGCUCCUGCUGCAUGGUGGGGGUUGGAAAGUUUCGGCGGUUGGGGAUGGACUCGCGGCUUAUCAGCUUGUUGGUGGGGUAGUGGCUUACCAAGGCUUUGACGGGUAGCCGGCCUGAGAGGGUGACCGGCCGCAUUGGGACUGAGAUACGGCCCAGACUCCUACGGGAGGCAGCAGUGGGGAAUAUUGCACAAUGGGCGGAAGCCUGAUGCAGCAACGCCGCGUGCGGGAUGACGGCCUUCGGGUUGUAAACCGAUUUCGCCUGUGACGAAGCGUGAGUGACGGUAAUGGGUAAAGAAGCACCGGCUAACUACGUG
rnacentral:rRNA from 1 species